UACAGAGGGUGCGAGCGUUAAUCGGAAUUACUGGGCGUAAAGGGUGCGUAGGUGGUUACUUAAGUUAGGUGUGAAAGUCCUGGGCUUAACCUGGGGAUUGCGCCUGAUACUGAAUAGCUAGAGUAUUGUAGAGGAAAGCGGAAUUUCCGGUGUAGCGGUGAAAUGCGUAGAUAUCGGAAGGAACAUCGGUGGCGAAGGCGGCUUUCUGGACAAAUACUGACACUGAGGCACGAAAGCGUGGGGAGCAAACAGGAUUAGAUACCCUGGUAGU
rnacentral:rRNA from 1 species